CCGCCAUUUUGGGCUGGGAGGAGGCAGCGGAGGGACUCGCUGCGCAGUGAGAGCACCCCAUGGGGGGUGGUCCGGGCGCGGGGAGAGGCCGGGCCGAGUGGGCUGCCUGAAGUGGCGGCGCCGGGAGACGGCGGGGAGUUGGGUUGGGGGCCGCGGAGGGUGAAGGUUGGUGUCUCCCCGGCCGAGCCCAGUCCUCAAACCGUCCCGGCGGCCCCGCAGUCUCGCCUUUGAGAGCGGGGUUUUGGGUGAUUACCGCGUAUUUCCCGUGACCCCGACAGAGGAGAGGCCAAUAGGACGGCUUCCCCUUUGCUGAGCUUCCACCGGGACGCGGAUCCUGAGGCCAAGCUCUGCCAAGGCCUCUCCCCACCCCCAUUCGUCUGGGUAUGGCGGCGAGGCCCGGCGUGGCUGGCCCCCAUCGGAAGGACGAGGUGGGCGCGACGCCAGUUGGAGGCGCUGGCUCGCGGGUUCGGGCCGAGGUUGCAGCCGUAGCCUCAUGCCUCCCUCGGUGCUAGUCAGCUGGAGGCUCGGAGGGCGCCCAGCCGCAGUGCACCCACCUCUCCCCCCCCCCCCCAUGCACCAAGUCCAUCGUCCCACCUCUCGGGGCUGCGAAAAGCAACAGCCCUCUAACUACUAUAGCAACCACCAACUCCCCUGGGACCGACUAGAUGGGGCACGUGGAAAGCUCGAGCUCAGGGCUUGGAAAUCUCUGAGCUCUCUUGCCCUCAAGAUUGCUCCCAUCGAGCCCCGACUCCCCCAAUGGCCUGGCCUCGAACGUCACCAGCCACUUUUGGAAACUCCUAAAGUGUGCUGCCCCACUUGGAAAUUUUACGACAAAGGGAUGGGGUUCUGCCCUUUGCAGGUUCGGAACAGAAAAUAAUUCAGAGUCACCAUGGUACAGUAAUAGAAAUGGAGCGGCCCAUUUCGGAUACUUCAAAAACAUCUGUUUGCGUUUUGAAAUCCGAGCCGUAAACUUAGGGACGAAAUGGCUGUGCUACAAGGGGAAAGGAGAGCUAAUUCCAGUGUGAUCUCUGUAAGCCUACACAAUGUCCCGUUUAAAGUCCUGUUCCACAAACUAAAAAGAGUAUUUUCUGUGCCAGUGUCCCAUCGUUACUAGAGCCAUUUCUUCUUUAGAACGUGGAAGGUACUUAAGUAGAAAUGGCAGUUUUGAUCUAGUUCCUGUAUGUGGGUUAUAGGGGAGACGUUCAUUGAAAGAAUAAACUUGCAACUUAAAAUUAUAGCAGUUAAAGCAUUUAAAAGGCUGGUGUUUGACGUGAUAUUCUUUUACUGAAUUGCAGAUUAAACAUCUUGUUCCCUAGAGACUUCCAGGCUACACCUUCAAAUGAUACCUUUGUAGCUCAGCUGUCAGUUAAAAUGGUGUCCAGAUAGGCUCUGGAGUAGGUCGUUAACUAGCCAUAGGUAUCUGUGGGUACCUUGUAAUGAAUUUUACUGCUAGUUAUAGAUGGUCUAAUUCCUAGGCCUUUGCUUUAACUGUAGGACCCAUGAAAGUUUCUUCAGCGUUGACGGACUGCUCCUUGUAUUAAUAAAAGUCCUUCUAGCUGGAUGUGGUGGGUCUCUUAAGAAUUCGAGGCCAGCCUGGUCUACAUAGAGAGUUCCGGGCCAGCCAAAGCUACAUAGUGAGACUCAUUUCAAAAUAAAAUAAUUUUAAGUUAUGUGAUGACUUCGUAGUUGUAAUUUCUGCCAGCAUCCCUCGGAUGCUUUGAAAAAAAAAUCUUAAAACCCUACAAACAAAUACAAGCCCACCUGAUCACCAUUGACUAGGAUUCUUUUGGUUUUUUGAGAUGUCUUAACUCUAGCCCAGGCUGGACUCAAAUUCAGGAUAAUCCUUCUGUCUCAACCUAGAAUUGCAGCAGGUGUGAGCUACUAUACCAGCUUGAUUUUCUGCUUGUACUUUUGAAUCGGUUUCAGAUAGCCUAGACUGACCCUGAACUCCUUGUAGUAUAGUUUAGGCUGGCCUUGAACUUCCUUCCUCCACUUCCCAAGUUCUUGGAUUAUAGGCAUGUAGUGCCACACCCAAUAUUAUUUACUUGCUUUGUUUGUGUGCGUACAUUGCACAAGUGGAGGUCAGAAUCUGUGAAAGUCUGUUCCUCCAUCACCUGGCUUCCCAGGGAGGGAAUUCCUGUUGUGAGGUUUGGCAGCAAGUGCCUUUACACAAUGAGCCAUCUUUCUGGUCUCCUAAUGGGUGUUUAGGUUUUUGUUGUUAUUGUUGUUUGCUUGCCAUUUUGAAACAGGGUCUCUGUUUAGCCCAAGUUGGCCAGGAGCUAUCUGCUUGAGCCCCUCAAGUGUUCUCAGGUGUAUAGCACUGCAUUUAUUCGUGACUAAGAUUGAUUAAUUAAAGACAGGGUCUCCUGUAGCUCUUUUUGGCCUUGAGCUCAGUAGCCAACCAUGACCUUUGAACUCCUGGUGGUCCUGCCUGUGCUGAGUGCUGAAAUUAGAGGAGUGCACCAUCCUGUACCAUUUAGAUGGCACUGGAUUGACCCCAGAGCUUUGUGCACUCUAGGCAUACUCUCAACUGAGCUUUAUCCCCAGCCCCAUUAGAGCCCUUAAUUCAAAAUGUGAACUGCAUCUUUGUUUUUUGUUUUUUUUUUUUUUGAGACAUGGCCUUGCUCUGUAGUCCAGGAUGACCUAGAACUCACAUCAUAGACUUCAGUAGCCUUAAAUUCAUAGCAGCCCACUUGCCUUAGGUAAGGCUACAGGUGUCAGCCCAGUAGUUAAACACCUGGUUUAAGUACUUCUAACUGAAGCAUCAGUGCACUGUUCAUCCCAAAGUUUCCUUUGUCAUGUUCACUUUACCCUGAUCAAGAAAAGAUGAAGAGCCUUGUAUUGUAGGCUCAUGCUAAUCCUAGCACUUGAGAGGCAGAGGCAGGAGGAUUACCACAAAUUGGGAGACUAACCUCGGCUACACAUUAAGACUAUCUCAAAAAAAAAAAAAGGAAACCUUUAAUCUCAGUACUUGGGAGUCAGAGGCAGGCAGAUCUCUGAAUUCGAGGCCAGCCUAGUAUACAGAACGACUUCCAGGAUAGCUAGGGCUGUUACACAGAGUAACCCUGUCUUGAAAAGCCAAAAAAGAAAAAAAUGGGGCUUUAAUUCAGUGGGAGAGAACUUGUUUAGCAUGCACAGGAAUGGAGAGUGGGAGUAGGAAUGAGUUAGGAAAUGAUAACAUUUAAUUGGUAGGAGUCAGGUUAAAUAGUCAUAGGAGCUGAGGGGGGGCUUCGGAUUAUCUCUGUGGUUCUUUUGUCAAGAAGGAGGACCCUAGACUCCUGUGAUCCAUCCUCUGUUGUGAAGGCAUCUAGCUAAACCUUUGGCAGUGCUAUACCAGGUGCAGAAACUUAUUACUCAGUUAUAGAUGAAGGCUUAACUGUGCUUAAGGAUGACACAUGAGCUUUUUCCCUUCCUUGAUUUUAAAUAGUUGGGAAUAGCUGGGUGUGGUGGCGCCUGCCUGUAACCCUUAUACUCAGUAGGUGGAUUCUCAUCUUGUUGGACACCAAGCUCAACUACAGUGAGACCCUAUGUUAAAAACAAUGGGAGGUAGAGACAACUCAGACCUGAGUUCAGGCCCCAGAACCCAAGUUUUAAAAAAAAAGAUGCUAGGGGUCUGGAGCAAUGCUCAGUAAUUAAAAGCACUACUGCUCUUGUAAUGGACCAUCGUUCCAGGUCAGGGCCCUUUUCUGACCUCUGUGGGUACCAGGCAUGCAUGUGGUACACAUAAAUUCAUGAAAACAAACACUCAUAGGCAAAAGUGCAAGAUGCCAGGUGUGAUGGCCUAUUUCUUUAAUCCCAGCACUUGGGAGGAAGAGGCAGGCUGAUUUUGAGUUCUAGGUUAUCCUGGUCUACAAAGCAAGUUCUGAAACAGCCAUGGCUACACAGAGAAAGCCUAUUGGCUGGAGUGUUAGGGAGGCAGAGAGGCAGGCUCUCUGGGGUUUCCUGGAGGAGGUGAAACUGAGUGUACUUGCUAGUUAGAGGCCAAUAAAAGCCCUUGUCUCAAGUAAGUGUCUGUGGGAGAUGGCACCAAAGGUAGCCCUCUGGCCACCAUAUGUGUGUGUAUUCACAUUCACACACGUGUACCUGCAUACCCUCCCUGGCUUCUGUACCUGUGUAGACAGCCUUUCUACUUCAGAAAUAACUUCUUCAGAAGCUCUGAGGGGAUCUGGGAAUGUAGCUCUGUGGGUAGAGUGCUUGCCUAGCACACAUGAGCCUCUGUCCAUCCCUUCCCCACCAAAAACUUUAGUGCAUAUAUAAGACCUGCCUUACUGGAGUAUGGCUGCUGCACACAAAAGGGAAGCCAUCUAAGGAGACUGAGUAGGGUCAGUAUCUCAUGGCACCAAAGCAGCUGUUAUUAUAAAGUAGUUGAUAUUUUGUAUUUACCUGAUGGGCCAACUCCUGGAGGCCAGUCAGUCACUCUGUAAGUAAGAUUCAUGGGCAGAAGUGGAAAUGUGUCUCCAAAUUACUCCUUGUUACUUAGAUACUUCUGAAGAAGAUACUUGCUUCUGUGUGUGGCUCCCAUGUUCCACCCUUCUGUCCAUCAUUUUCUCCACCCCCCCCCCUUUUUUUUGAGACAGGGUGCCUUUGCAUAGCCCUAGUUGUCUUGGGAUUCAGUGUGUAGACCAGGCUGGCCAUGAACUUAAUAUGUAGCCAAGGCUGGACUUGAAUUCUCAGUUCUUGCCUUAGCUUCCUGAGUGCUGGAGUUAUAUGGGUACCACCAUGUAUUUUAUUUGUUUCUCUUUUCAGAUUGUUUGAAUGUUAUUAGGCUAAAUGUACAUUUAUUAAGAACUAAAAGGAAGACAUUCCUUCUAGUCCUAAAUUUGAUAUUUUGCUUUUGCCUGAAAGUUGACAUUGGCAUUAUCCAAAUAUGCAAAAUGACAUGUUUAAAGUAGCCUCCAGGGACUGAAGAGGUGGCCUAAGAGUGAAGAGCACAAAGUGCUCUUCUAGGGGGCCCAAGUUCAAUUCCUAGCACUCAUAUCAGGUAACUUACAACUGCUUGUCAUUCCACUUCCAGGGACUCCAACACCUCUGAUCUCUAAGAGCCUUAUGUUCACACACACACACACACACACACACACACACACACACACACAGACAGAGAGAGAGAGAGAGAGACAGGUAGAUCUCUGAGUUCCAGGCCCCAAAGCUACAGAGAAACCCUGUCUUGAAAAAGCAAAAUAAGGGCUGGAGAGAUGGCUUAGUAGUUAAGAGCAUUGACUGCUCUUCCAGAGGUCCUGAGUUCAAUUCCCAGCAACCACAUGGUGGCUCACAACCAUCCGUUAUAAGAUCUGGUGCCCUCUUCUGGUGUGCAGAUAUACAUGGAAGCAGAAUGUUGUAUACAUAAUAAAUAAAUAAAAUCUUUUAAAAAAAAGAAAAAGCAAAAUAAAUACAUAAAUAAAAUCUUAAAGUAAGCUUCAGAACUCCAAUAAUUUGCUCUCAUAGUCUACUGGAGGCUAGAGAAACUUAUAUUAAUUAGAUUACUGGGGAGAUGUUGAUAAUUUCCCUCAUAGUUUUAUAUAUGAGGUACCCCCAAAUUCUUGUUACUUGCUUCAUUGUAAAAGAGUUGUUUGUUUGGUUGGUUUUGCCUUUUAUUUUGUUUUUUUCAAGACAGGGUUUUACUAUGUAGCUAUAGCUAUCCUGGAAUUCACUUUGUAAACCAGACUGGCUUCAAACUCACAGAAAUCCACCUGCCUCUGCCUCCCUAGUGCCAUGUGCUAUCUACCAUGCCUGGCCUGGUUUUGGUUUUAAGACGAUCUCACAAUGUAUCCCUGUCUGGCAUGGAUAUCACAGAGAUUUGCCUGCCUCUUCCAAGUGGGCUGGGAUUCAGGAAUGUAGUUUUUGUUCGCUGCAGAUCAGUAGCAGUUUAUAUGUGCUGGAGAGAUGACAUAGUGGUUAAGAGCACUUUCUGCUCUUGCAGAGGACCCAGGUUCAGUUCCUAGAACCCAUCUGUGUGUGUGACUCAUACCAUAGCUCAUAAGUGUGUGUGACUCCAGUACCAGAUGAUCCAACACACUUGGAUCUUGGCCUCCUCAGGCACCAGGCAUACACAUGGUGCACACGUAAAUGCAGGUAAAACACUCACACAAAUUAAAUUCUCAAAAAAUGCAGUGAUGGGCUUGGUAGAGCAUACCUUUAGUCCCAGCACUCAAGAAUCAGAGGCAAGCAUUUCUAAUAAUUCAAGGCCAGCUUGAUCUACAUACUGAGUUCCAAGCUAGUCAAAGCUACAUAGUGAGACUGUCUCAAAACAAAAAAGGGAUAGAGGCUAGGUAUAGUGUCAAACAGCUGUAAUUCCAGCAUUGGGGAAACUUGAGGCAAAAUGAUCAGAGGAAUUCAAGGUCAGCUGUGGCUACAUAGUGAGAUUGAGGCCAGCUUGGGUUACAUGACAUCCUGUUAUAGCAGAACUAAAUAUAAAUACAUGCGUACACACACACACACACACACACACACACACACACACACACACACACACACACGGCUUCAGGUGAAACCUUAAAAUUCCCUUCUGAAUUUUUACUUGUGUAAAACUCUGUUUUUGUUAUUUUGAAACAGGGUCUCUCUGUAUAGCCCUGGCUGUCCUGGUCUUUGCUAGUAGAUGAGGCUGGUUUGGAAUUCAUAGCUGUCCACCUGCCUGCUGGAAUUAAUAGUAUGCACCAUCUUGUUCUUGUUCAGUGCAGUGAGGACUCUUUUUUUUUUUUUUUUUUUUUUUAAACCUCUGAGCCAUCUCUGCAGCCCAAUUGAUAGUACUUUUAGGAAUCAAAUCACACUGGAUUGUUGAAGACUUAUUCUCAGGUUCCUGUAGUAGCUCAGCCUUUUGAGUUUCUUUGACAUGUAAAGGUUUGUUACAGAACUGGAGUUACUUUCCAUGUUGUUAGAUAAUUUUUUAUAAUUGAAUCUCCUCUUUAGAAGUAAAACUCAAGAAAAAGUUUACUUAAGUAGUUUUGUUUUUCUGAGACAAGAGUCUAGUGUAGACCAGGCUGACUUCAAAUUCAGGAGGUAAUUGAGAAUGACCUUGAAUUCCAGAACUGCCUCCACCUACAAUUCCAAGCAUUGAAAUUAAAGGCAUAUACCAUGUCCUGUUUGCAGGUUGCUGGGGAGAUACUAGGAAUUGAACCCAAGGACUCCUGCAUGUUCUACAUACUCAACUAAACUCCCAGUUCUUGAGAGAUUUAUAAGAGUGGUAUAAAACAGUCUAUGUUUCUUCAGUAUGAACCCAAAAGUGCUGGGUGUAGUGGCACACACCUUUACUCCCAGCACUUGGGAAGCAGAGGCAGGUGGAUUUCCAGCCCAGCCUGCUGGUGUACGAAGUUUCAGAACAGCCAGGGCUACGUAGUAAGAUCCUGUCUCAAAAAAAAAAAAAAAAAAAAAUAGAAGAAGAAAACCAAGAAUCCAAAUGGUAACACAUCUUUAAUCACAGCACUCAGGAGGUAGAGGCCAGCCAGGGCCACAUGGAGAAACCCUGUCACAAAACACAAAAAAGCUUUUCUGAGCCAAGUGUGAUGUAUGCCAGGCUUCUAGGGAGGCUGAAGUAGGAGAUGGCUGGAACCUAGGAAUUGAGACCAGCCUGAACAACAUAAUGAGACUUGGUCACAAUAACAUAAAUCAGUAAAGAGCUGUGUGUGGUGGUGAAUAUAAUCCCAGCACUCUGCAUAGUUUGGUCUACAUAGUUCGUUGUUCAGGCCAGCAAGGGCUACAUACCAAGACCCUUUCUCAAAAACAAACAAGAAAAUUAGGAUUGAAUUUGUGAGUGUGGUGAUACAAACCUCUUAUUACAGCGUUCAGGAGUCUAAGGCAGGGGAGUUGCAAGUUUGGGCUAUAUAGCAAGACUCAAAAAUAAAUGUAAAUAUUAGGAUCCAGUGAGAUAGCUUAGUGGCUUUCACUUGGCUGCCACCAAGCCUGAUGACCUAAAUUGGAUCUUCAGGACUUACAUGGUGGAAGGAAACGAUCUGCAAGUUGUCUUCUGACUUUCACUUGAAGGGUGUGGCGUGUCCACGAACAUACAAAUAUAAAGCCUGGAGAGGUGGUUGAGUGCCUACUGGAACUUGCUGUUCUUGCUGAGGAUCUGGGUUUAGUUCCAGCACCCACAUGGCAGCUACAACCACCUCUAUGUAAUCAGGGGGAUCUGAUGCUCUCUUCUGGCCUUUGGACACCAGGCAAGUGUGCAGUGCACUUAAAUACAUGCAGGCACACAUACACAUAAAAAUAAAUCUUUUAAAAAUAAAAAUAUUACAUUACUUUUUAUUUCUUACACACCAGCUAUUUAUAUUUUGUGUGAGAGUAACGUAGAAUUUUUAUUGCAAUCAUGGUGUGCUAAUGUGCAAAGUUAACUCCUUUGGAAAAACAGCCAAUGUCAAGUAUGCUGGCUCAUGCCUGUAAUCUCAGCAUUCAGAAGGCUGAGGCAGGAUUGUCCUGGGUUUGAGACUAGCCUGGGCUUCAUAGCAUCAGACCAGCCUCGGGGUAGAGUGAGACCAAGUCUCACAAUAGUCAUAAAAGCCCGAAAAUUCAAGUGUGCUUCAGGACCUCUGUAUAAGCACUUUCUCAAUAGCCAGUUUUUGGCCAAGUGUGAUGUAUGCCAGGCUUCUAGGGAGGCAUUGUGAAUAUUAGUUGUCAAAUCUUAGGCAUGUAAGUAGGUUAGGCAUAUGUAGAUGUUUAGAAUUACCUAAAGUUCUGUUUUGGUUUUUGUUUGAUUUUUGAGACAGGGUUUCUCUGUGGCUUUGGAGGCUGUCCUGGAACUUGCAUUAUAGACCAGGCUGGUCUUGAACUCACAGACAGCUUGCUCCCUCUGCCUCUGGAGUACAGAGUGCUGGGAUUAAUGUUUGGUUUCAUA
rnacentral:lncRNA from 1 species